ACGUGGGCCGCGCUAGAUUACUCACAGACCCCAAGGCCCUUGUGUGAUCGUGGAGAAGUCAUUCGAUCUCUGAGCAUUUUUCAUCUAUAAAUAGGAGAGUUGGGCCAGAGAAGCCCAGAGCCAGUUUAGACACGGACGGAGCAGCCCUGCUGAAUCAAAAAGUACUUUCGUAGAAGAGCCACUGAUACUACUAUAUAUAAAAUAGAUAACAACAAGGACUUACUGUAUAGCACAAGGAAUUAUACUCAAUAUUUUGUAUUAACCUAUAAGGGAAAAGAAUUUGAAAAAGAAUAUAGAUAGAUAGAUAGAUAUCUGAAUCACUGUGCUGUAUGCCUGAAACUAACAUGACAUUGUAAAUCAAUUAUACUUCAAUUAAAAAAUGCACAUUAGGGCUU